GGCCUCAUUCUGUGAGAAUGGGAGAGACUGAUUGCAGUGCCCGAAGCUGUCGCUGUCACUAUACUGGGACACAGGUUAUGCUUCUAUCACAGUGAUUGAACUGCAGUGCUGAUAACGAGACGUGGGACAUUU
ensembl:snoRNA